AUACGUACCUGGUGUCGGGUGCACGCUGAUCAAUGAGGGCGUACCCCGAGAUGAGGCCUCGUGCUGACUCUCGCCAUUCUCCCGAAUUGGGUGAUUGGGGCACGAAAUUUUUGGUAGUGGGGGGAGAGCCUGCUGCUCUCCCCCU
rnacentral:snRNA from 1 species